GUGUACCCUAGAGUUCCCCUGACCGCUUCAUGGGGAUCCUUGGCUACUGGAUAAAAUGCAGCCAUUUAGCCUUCUGAAGUGUUUGGGGGAACUCUACAAUUUUC
rnacentral:miRNA from 1 species